rnacentral:lncRNA from 1 species
AUAUGCUAGUUUAGGAUAUUCAUUUGAGACUUAUUUAACAUGAAUAAACUAGGCCCAUUUUAUAUCUUGGAGGAAUUAAAUUUUGGAUUAGUUGAGUAAUAAUCAACAUUAUUAGAACUAGUCAUGAUUAAUGACCAAUGUUUUUACCAUUUUUCUUUGUUCUUCUUUUCAAAGACAUUCAAAUCAAAAAGAUUAUUUUUUAUUAAUUUCUAAAAUUACCCAGGAGACAAAACAAAACAGUAGAAGAGGAAGGGAGAAAAAAGUGAGAGGCAGCAGGUUUCAGAUAGAUAUUAAAUUAUUAAUGCAGAUGGCAAAUUGUCUUAUCCUCUGCAAGGAGAUGAGAUAGCUUAGAUUCAUGAAAACUCAUUUUGGCAUGCAUACACGUGUGUGCACUCAUUCACAUAUACACACACAACAGAGAGAGAAAGAGAUUGAAAAUCAUUAUAGGUGAUUUGAACAGAGAGGAGGUGCAUAGGCAAAGUAAGUCCAUUCCAAGUAGUGAAGAAUUUCACUUGGCUUUUUACAAUUUCAUCAAGUUGUAUGCUUUUUAAUUGUUCAUCUGCCUUUGACAUAUGGUCAUGAAAGAGGAAGAGUUUAUUCUGUCAAAGAAAGAGACCUCACUUUGAGACAGAGGAGUCAGUUAGACAAUCUUUCUAUAAGGGUUUCUUUUUAUUUUAAUGCCUCUUUCAAAUAAACACUAUUGUUUAU